rnacentral:rRNA from 1 species
UACGUAGGGUGCAAGCGUUGUCCGGAAUUAUUGGGCGUAAAGAGCUCGUAGGCGGUUUGUCGCGUCGGCUGUGAAAGCCCGGAGCUCAACUCCGGGUCUGCAGUCGAUACGGGCAGACUUGAGUGUUGCAGGGGGAGACUGGAAUUCCUGGUGUAGCGGUGAAAUGCGCAGAUAUCAGGAGGAACACCGGUGGCGAAGGCGGGUCUCUGGGCAACAACUGACGCUGAGGAGCGAAAGCGUGGGGAGCGAACAGG